CAGAGUAAGAGCUAGGAGGGACGAGAAAGCGAACUGAGGUGGCUCUCUACCCACCCUGGGCCCCUGUGGUUUCUCCCGAGUCUCUCUCCCCCUCCCCCGGGACGCACAGGAGUCGGGCACGGGGGGGUCACACUCACACCAGGGGGGCACUUCCUAGCUCUGCACUGACAGGCACAGGCCAUGGUGGCAGGCACAGCCAAGCCCCUGGCCGCGGGCCCAACAGGACAAGUCUGAGGAAGCGUCCCCGCCUGACAGCACCUAACGCUGCUCGCCUGGGACAGAUCCACGCUGACCUCGCUUUGGGAAUCUUAUGUAAAGAGCAUUCCAUGGAAUGGUACUCUCAGCCUAUCUGUAAUAGCAAGAAGAUAUCUUGCUUCUUGAGGUGUUCUUUGAAUGUCAACGAUUGGUCUAUGUGACCCAAAGGUACAUUGGAUGUACCUAGUGCUCAAGGCUAGAAAUCGCCACAUAAGGACUACUGAUUCAACUUCCCUGAAACCCUGCUGUCUUUUUAACUGCAAGCACCAGCUGAUAGGAGAUACCAUUAUAGGAAGCACCCAGAUACUAGCUCUCCAGAGAAUGACAAGGGAGGUAACCAACGCCCAGUGGGUGGGUGCUAAACAGACAUCACCAGCCACAGUCCAGCGGAGGAGUUACAAAUCAGUGACACACUUGCACAAGGCCAUGCCAGGGGAAUUGCUCAACCUUGCCUGGAGACUCAGCAAUGCCCACCAAACAUGUCUGGACUUGUGUUCUCCAAGCACAUGGACUGAGGGUAUAAAACAGAACACAGUGGCCACAAGCUGGGACUUUUCUCCUUCCACCACCUAUGCUGCAAACAACAAAGACCACCCAGAAGACCGAAGAUGCCAACAGAGGGGACUGGCCCAGGUUUAAGGACAAACCUGUAUAUUUAGGACUGCAAUAUCCAGUGGGGUGAGAAAAAAUGCUUAAUCCAUAUGUUGCCCAGUCUAAUAGCAUGCAGUCUAA